GACGAACCGUGCGAACGUUGUUCGGAAUCACUGGGCUUAAAGGGCGCGUAGGCGGCCCCGCCAGUCUCGGGUGAAAUCUUCCGGCCCAACCGGAAAAGUGCCCGGGAUACUGCGGGGCUCGAGCGAGGCAGGGGCGGGGGGAACUUCCGGUGGAGCGGUGAAAUGCGUUGAUAUCGGAAGGAACGCCGGAGGCGAAAGCGCCCCGCUGGGCCUCUCCUGACGCUGAGGCGCGAAAGCCAGGGGAGCGAACGGG
rnacentral:rRNA from 1 species